CAGGAAUUCAACACGGAAUUUCCAAAUUCCUGACAAAUAUUCCUGGAACUUUACAGGCAGAAUCACAGUAUAUAAGGGACACACAGGUGUGUAUGAACUACAUUCAUCUCUGCUUCACAGUCAAGCGCUGCAAUUUCAAAGAAAACAAAGGACAUAAGAAUACAGCACACAACAGACUAAGAAUGAUGAAGGUUCUGCUGCUGGCUCUUGUUCUCACCCUGGUGUUGGCGAAUGGCUCUGCCCUGAAAUGUAACAGGUGUGUCCCCGGCAGACCUGGAGGAAGUUGUGUGACCACAAAGGAGACGUGUGGCUAUGGGCAAGAUGCCUGUGUAUCUGCCAGAUUCACCACAUAUCCCUUUUCCUACUUCCGGAGGUGCAGUAAAAUGGGAGAUUGCUUGAUUCUUCAGUCCAGCCCCUACAUUACAGCCAGG